ensembl:ncRNA lncRNA:CR45150 long non-coding RNA:CR45150
AGAUACUUGUGUAUUAGCCUAUUGAGAGGAAUAGGGUGAAGCAAGUAAGGCAAGCUACCUUUCCACAUUGUAUCUUUGAAUGAAUGAAGAUGGCACAUGCCACGGACCUAUCCUGACCUUGCACUGAGUGCAUUGCAUCACUCUCGCUGCAUCGAAUUCAUUGUCAUGGCACUUAACCAGCCAAUGCCAGUGACAGUGAAACCAUCGGCCUUGUCCGGACACUAUUCGCGAUCUAUAUCAGCAUAUGGAGCGGAAUCAAGGCGUGUGCAUUCCGGCCGGACUAUGUGUACUAUGUGCCAUGCCAUAUACAUACUCGCACACAUUCAUAUGCGGCACAAUUGAGUAAAUCAGCGCAUAUCAAAGCGCCGUACUGCGUCUUAGAUUGCAUAAGUUGUGCAGUAGGUCCGAGAAAUCGCUGCCAAUUGAACCCGAACCCGAACUCGAACCCAAUUCCAAUCCAAAAACCCAAUCCCAAUCCGAAUCCGAAUCCAAAAAACCCAAGCCGAUGCGAUCCGAUCGCUGCCGAGUCGAGUUUGGCGUAAUAUUUUGUAGGUACUUUUGUUUUUUUUUUUUUCAUGUACGGCUUAUCAGG